GAUGAACGCUGGCGGCGUGCCUAAUACAUGCAAGUCGAGCGAACGGACGAGAAGCUUGCUUCUCUGAUGUUAGCGGCGGACGGGUGAGUAACACGUGGAUAACCUACCUAUAAGACUGGGAUAACUUCGGGAAACCUGAGCUAAUACCGGAUAAUAUUUUGAACCGCAUGGUUCAAAAGUGAAAGACGGUCUUGCUGUCACUUAUAGAUGGAUCCGCGCUGCAUUAGCUAGUUGGUAAGGUAACGGCUUACCAAGGCAACGAUGCAUAGCCGACCUGAGAGGGUGAUCGGUCACACUGGAACUGAGACACGGUCCAGACUCCUACGGGAGGCAGCAGUAGGGAAUCUUCCGCAAUGGGCGAAAGCCUGACGGAGCAACGCCGCGUGAGUGAUGAAGGUCUUCGGAUCGUAAAACUCUGUUAUUAGGGAAGAACAUAUGUGUAAGUAACUGUGCACAUCUUGACGGUACCUAAUCAGAAAGCCACGGCUAACUACGUG
rnacentral:rRNA from 1 species